UACGUAGGGUGCGAGCGUUGUCCGGAAUUAUUGGGCGUAAAGAGCUCGUAGGCGGUUUGUCGCGUCUGCUGUGAAAACCCGAGGCUCAACCUCGGGCCUGCAGUGGGUACGGGCAGACUAGAGUGCGGUAGGGGAGAAUGGAACUCCUGGUGUAGCGGUGGAAUGCGCAGAUAUCAGGAAGAACACCGAUGGCGAAGGCAGUUCUCUGGGCCGUAACUGACGCUGAGGAGCGAAAGCGUGGGGAGCGAACAGG
rnacentral:rRNA from 1 species